CCUACGGGUGGCAGCAGUGAGGAAUAUUGGUCAAUGGGCGCGAGCCUGAACCAGCCAAGUAGCGUGAAGGAUGACUGCCCUACGGGUUGUAAACUUCUUUUAUAAAGGAAUAAAGUGAGGCACGUGUGCCUUUUUGUAUGUACUUUAUGAAUAAGGAUCGGCUAACUCCGUGCCAGCAGCCGCGGUAAUACGGAGGAUCCGAGCGUUAUCCGGAUUUAUUGGGUUUAAAGGGAGCGUGGAUGGGUUUGUAAGUCAGUUGUGAAAGUUUGCGGCUCAACCGUAAAAUUGCCAUUGAUACUGGCAGUCUUGAGGACAGUUGAGGUAGGCGGAAUUCGUGGUGUAGCGGUGAAAUGCUUAGAUAUCACGAAGAACUCCGAUUGCGAAGGCAGCCUACUAAGCUGCCACUGACAUUGAUGCUCGAAAGUGUGGGUAUCAAACAGGAUUAGAUACCCGAGUAGUC
rnacentral:rRNA from 1 species